rnacentral:rRNA from 1 species
GUCGCAUGAUCUUUAUGCCAAAGAUUUAUCGCUUCAAGAUGGCCUCGCGUCUGAUUAGCUAGUUGGCGGGGUAACGGCCCACCAAGGCGACGAUCAGUAGCCGGACUGAGAGGUUGAACGGCCACAUUGGGACUGAGAUACGGCCCAGACUCCUACGGGAGGCAGCAGUGGGGAAUAUUGGGCAAUGGGCGCAAGCCUGACCCAGCAACGCCGCGUGAAGGAAGAAGGCUUUCGGGUUGUAAACUUCUUUUAAGAGGGAAGAGCAGAAGACGGUACCUCUAGAAUAAGCCACGGCUAACUACGUGCCAGCAGCCGCGGUAAUACGUAGGUGGCAAGCGUUGUCCGGAUUUACUGGGUGUAAAGGGCGUGCAGCCGGGUCUGCAAGUCAGAUGUGAAAUCCAUGGGCUCAACCCAUGAACUGCAUUUGAAACUGUAGAUCUUGAGUGUCGGAGGGGCAAUCGGAAUUCCUAGUGUAGCGGUGAAAUGCGUAGAUAUUAGGAGGAACACCAGUGGCGAAGGCGGAUUGCUGGACGAUAACUGACGGUGAGGCGCGAAAGUGUGGGGAGCAAACAGGAUUAGAUACCCUGGUAGUCCACACUGUAAACGAUGAAUACUAGGUGUUGGAUAGCAAAGCUAUU